GUACAUAAGUAUAUUCUGACAUGUUAUUUUGAGCUCCACAGAAACAAAACAAGAUUUGCCACCUGGUGACAGACCAUCCUGUUGUUCCCAAGGAGAAAGGUAAAGAAGGAGAGGAUUGGAGAGGAGAAGGAAACUGGACAAGCCCACACAGCUGGCAUAUGGUGGAGCAGGGACACGUCUGUCUUACUCAACAUUAUUUUGCCUCUCUGCUACCUUGCCAGGAGCUAUCUGCUGGAGAUCCCUGUAUUUCUCUGCUUUGAGAGCCUUCCUGUCUCCAGAAAAUAUCCUUCUGUGGCUCCAAAGGUCUCAGUCUCAGGGUGAUGUCCUGGCUACUUUUCUUUUGGACCAUAAAUGAAAUGACAGUGAAGACAUCAACCUCACCAUGUUGGAAAACUGCCUAAGAUGUUUCUUGGAACUGUGGCCAGUCCCAGGAACAGAAAGGCAUGAUGUUCACAGCCAAAACUUCCUCAUAGGGGCCUGCUGUACAUCCUCAUGCCUGAGAAUUGCUCUGAGGAAGGACUCAUUUACCACAUUUGCACUGCAGAAGUCAACACCCAGUGAUCAAAGGACAUCCUGGAAAAGUCAGUAUAGAUCCUGAACCAAAAACCUCAGAAGUGAUUCCAGGCUGCUGCCCAAGACCUGACAUGCAUACAUUUGUUCAUCACUCAACAAAUAUUUAUUGAGUGCUAUCUCUGUUGUAAACACUGUGCUGGAUGUGAAUGUCCAGCUGCAGAAGAAACAGACCCAAGCCUCCGGGAGCUGACUGUUCCCAGGAGGGGGCCCUUGGCUCUUUGCAGUGAGUUGUCAUCCUGGGCACUGAAGGGCAGUGGUGUGAGCCUGCUGAGCCAGAGAGACGAUGAGCUGCUCCCACAAUACCCAAUAAUCAGGCCCCAGGGUGCCUCCCCUGCUGCACCUAAAACACUUCAGAUGAACUGCAACUUUUCAAAUCUGCUCUUCAUGUGUCAAAGAAAUUUUGGAAUUUUUUUCCUACAGUAAAAGAUGAAAAACAGGAGCCCGACAAGCAGAACCUAUACCUAAUGUUAAGGGGAAGACCGCCUAGGGUCCACACUUGAGAAAUUAUUUUUAAGAAUGUUUAAUCUUGUUAGGAUGGAUUUCUGUGACUGCUGCCAGGGUCUCUGAACCCUCAGCAAAUAAAUGCAGAUGACAUUUAUUUGCUCAAGAUAAUGCUACCAUAAUAAAUGUAAAAGGGUCACUAUCUUUCCCCCAAACUUCC